rnacentral:rRNA from 1 species
AUUGAACGCUGGCGGCAGGCCUAACACAUGCAAGUCGAACGAAGUGGGAACGGGUGAGUAAUACGUGGGUAACCUCCCAUCAGAGGGGAUAACACUUGGAAACAGGUGCUAAACCGAUACUGAUGGAUGGACCCGCGGUGCAUUAGCUAGUUGGUGAGGUAACGGCUCACCAAGGCCACGAUGCAUAGCCGACCUGAGAGGGGGAUCGGCCACACGGGGACUGAGACACGGCCCAGACGCCUACGGGAGGCAGCAGUAGGGAAUCUUCGGCAAUGGACGAAAGUCUGACCGAGCAACGCCGCGUGAGUGAAGAAGGUUUUCGGAUCGUAAAACUCUGUUGUUAGAGAAGCGGUAUCUAACCAGAAAGCCACGGCUAACUACGUGCCAGCAGCCGCGGUAAUAC